CCUACGGGGGGCAGCAGUGGGGAAUAUUGCGCAAUGGGGGCAAGCCUGACGCAGCAACGCCGCGUGAUUGAAGAAGGCCUUCCGGUUUUAAAGAUCUUUAAUCGGGGACGCAUUUUGACGGUACCCGAAGAAUACGCUCCGGCUCACUACGUGCCAGCAGCCGCGGUAAUACGUAGGGAGCAACCGUUAUCCGGAUUUACUGGGUGUAAAGGGCGUGUAGGCGGGCAUGCAAGCCAGAAGUGAAAUCUGGGGGCUUAACCCCCAAACUGCUUUUGGAACUGCGUGUCUUGAGUGUUAGAGAGGCAGGCGGAAUGCCCAGUGUAGCGGUGAAAUGCGUAGAUAUUGGGAGGAACACCAGUGGCGAAGGCGGCCUGCUGGACAUUAACUGACGCUGAGGCGCGAAAGCGUGGGGAGCAAACAGGAUUAGAUACCCGAGUAGUC
rnacentral:rRNA from 1 species